GCAUCGGUGGUUCAGUGGUAGAAUUCUCGCCUGCCACGCGGGAGGCCCGGGUUCGAUUCUCGGCCGAUGCA
rnacentral:tRNA from 1 species